rnacentral:rRNA from 1 species
AGGGCACCACCAGGAGUGGAGCCUGCGGCUUAAUUUGACUCAACACGGGAAAACUCACCCGGCCCGGACACUGGAAGGAUUGACAGAUUGAGAGCUCUUUCUUGAUUCAGUGGGUGGUGGUGCAUGGCCGUUCUUAGUUGGUGGAGUGAUUUGUCUGGUUAAUUCCGAUAACGAACGAGACUCUAGCCUACUAAAUAGAUCGUCGGCUUACAAACGCCGACGAGACUUCUUAGAGGGACAGGCGGUGAUUCAACCGCACGAAACAGAGCAAUAACAGGUCUGUGAUGCCCUUAGAUGUCCGGGGCCGCACGCGCGCUACACUGAAGUGAUCAGCGUGCUUUUUCAACCUACUCUGUCAAGAGUGGGGAACCCAAUGAACCUUCUUCGUGAUUGGGAUAGGGGAUUGUAAUUAUUCCCCUUGAACGAGGAAUUCCCAGUAAGCGCGAGUCAUAAGCUCGCGUUGAUUACGUCCCUGCCCUUUGUACACACCGCCCGUCGCUACUACCGAUUGAAUGUUUU